rnacentral:tRNA from 1 species
GGUCUGGUGGUCUAGUGGUAUGAUUCUCGCUUAGGGUAACACCCGAAGCAAAGCUUGCGAGAGGUCCCGGGUUCUAUUCCCGGCCAGACCC